GGAUGGAAGAAGGGAAAUGGAAGUGAUGAGGAAAUGGUGAAGGGAAGGUCCCUAUUUAUAGAAAAUGGAGACCAUUAGAUUUGUGCUAAGUGGUGAAAUCUGGUGAGGAGAGAGAAACUCAAUGGGAAAGGUGAGAUGUGAUGACUUACGGAUGUGACCAACAAAUGGAUGACGCGAUGUAACGACAGCGCAAAAAUUAGAGGCACACCAUGCAAACAAUGGUAGCACAUCGCCCAAAUCGACAGCGGUGCACCACCUAACUAAUGGUGAAGGCGGCUCGCAGCGCCCAAGGGUGCAAUGCGCACUGCCCGAGGUAGGGCACGCUAUCUUAGCAUGCUGCUCGGAGGCCUAGCCAGUUGCACGCUCAGGCCUAUCAUGCAGACCUACUGAGUGGAGGAUGCAUGCACAGGGCAUUCGGAGUCACCCCCGUCAACGCAUAAUGGGACAUGUGCGCAAACUGCGCCUCACACCUUGUGUGGAUGG
rnacentral:lncRNA from 1 species